UGGGGAAUAUUGCGCAAUGGGCGAAAGCCUGACGCAGCGACGCCGCGUGAGGGAUGAAGGUUUUCGGAUCGUAAACCUCUGUCAGAAGGGAAGAAACCGCACUGUGCUAAUCAGCAGUGCCUUGACGGUACCUUCAAAGGAAGCACCGGCUAACUCCGUGCCAGCAGCCGCGGUAAUACGGAGGGUGCAAGCGUUAAUCGGAAUUACUGGGCGUAAAGCGCACGUAGGCUGCUUUGUAAGUCAGGGGUGAAAUCCCACGGCUCAACCGUGGAACUGCCUUUGAUACUGCUUAGCUUGAAGCCGGGAGAGGGUGGCGGAAUUCCCGGUGUAGGAGUUAAAUCCGUAGAUAUCUGGAGGAACAGCAGUGGCGAAGGCGGCCACCUGGACCGGUAUUGACGCUGAGGGGCGAAAGCGUGGGGAGCAAACAGG
rnacentral:rRNA from 1 species